rnacentral:rRNA from 1 species
GGGUCAGUAGGUUGGUCGUGCCACCGGUACGUACUGGUCUCACUGAUUCCUCCCUCCUGAAGAACCGUAAUGCCAUUAAUUUGGUGUUGCGGGGAAACAGGACUGUUACUUUGAAAAAAUUAGAGUGUUUAAAGCAAGCUAACGCUUGAAUACAUUAGCAUGGAAUAAUGAAAUAGGACGAUCGAUCCUAUUUUGUUGGCUUCUAGGAUUGACGUA